CCAAAGCAUGAGACCCCACUUCUUCCCCUCGGCCCUCACUUUCCCGAAACUCUUCUUUCCUCUCUGUUUUUCUAAGUUCUCUCUGUGUUGUGAGUCGUGAUGUCGUCGCCCUCCUAGCCUCAUCGUGGAAAGUGCUCUCUGAUGUGACGGAAUCAAGCCGCUCACUUAUUUACAAGACAUGCUUGUUUUGCGGAAGACACUAUUCAAUGGUGGCAUAAGUAUCAAGCGGCUCAUUCGACUCUACUUGGCAAAGAGCUUGCUCAUCUCGAAGCUUUUCUUCUCCGAUGAAGUCAAGUAAGGCUCCAGCAACUCGAGCCAAGAUUGUCACUUGCAAAUACAAAGAAGAAGAUGGGCUCGGGGUGGUCUGAGAAACCUUUGAUGCCUGAGUCAGUAUUCUUGGGUGUAUCUCUAAGGCUUUUGUAUCCAGAAUCUGGAGAGACUUUUGUAUCCUGACAAUGGGCGAAUGGCGUUGUCCUUCGGGGUUACCUUGUCAAGUUUAAGUCGUCCUACCCAUGCUUACCAUAGUACAGGCAUUUAAUGCGUUGUGAUCUUUUGAGAUAAGAUCAUUAAUGCGGUGUGGCUCCAGUAUUUGUACCUUUAAUGUGGCGUGGCCUUCUGGACAAAUCCUGAUGAUGGGCGAACAGUGCUAUCCUUCGAGGGUAUCCUUUGUCAGAGAAUGGAUGGUCACAUGCAUCUUCUGUUGGCACGAUGAUGUAAUUCUUUUAUGCGAGGUGAGAUGGGGAUUGUUAGAGUAGGUGGGUCCGAUCUGUCCCUGGCAUAUAGUUUAUCUCGUUUCGUACCCUUCUUUCUCUGAUGCAAUCUCGUGGGCCAGUCCCUGUUAACGACCCUAAGGCCUUUAGAACAAUGAGGUUUGGGCCAGGGCGGGGCGGGCUCAGUUAUUAGGCCAAAAUAUACUGAGAAUGGAUUGGUAUGAAAUAUCCCUCCCAAUGGGAAUACGAGAUAAAUAGUUUUUUGUGUUGCA